rnacentral:rRNA from 1 species
GACGAACGCUGGCGGCGUGCUUAACACAUGCAAGUCGAGCGGUAAGGCCCUUUCGGGGGUACGACGAGCGGCGAACGGGUGAGUAACACGUGGGUGACCUGCCCUUAGCUCUGGGAUAAGCCUGGGAAACUGGGUCUAAUACCGGAUAUGACUCCAUGACGCAUGUUGUGGGGUGGAAAGCCUUGUGCGGCUAGGGAUGGGCCCGCGGCCUAUCAGCUUGUUGGUGGGGUGAUGGCCUACCAAGGCGACGAC